rnacentral:rRNA from 1 species
AACAAGGAUUCCCCUAGUAACUGCGAGUGAAGCGGGAAAAGCUCAAAUUUAAAAUCUGGCGGUCCUUGGCCGUCCGAGUUGUAAUCUAGAGAAGUGUUACCCGCGCUGGACCGUGUACAAGUCUCCUGGAAUGGAGCGUCAUAGAGGGUGAGAAUCCCGUCUCUGACACGGACUACCAGGGCUUUGUGGUAUGCUCUCAAAGAGUCGAGUUGUUUGGGAAUGCAGCUCAAAAUGGGUGGUAAAUUCCAUCUAAAGCUAAAUAUUGGCGAGAGACCGAUAGCGAACAAGUACCGUGAGGGAAAGAUGAAAAGAACUUUGGAAAGAGAGUUAAACAGUACGUGAAAUUGCUGAAAGGGAAACGCUUGAAGUCAGUCGCGUUGGCCGGGAAUCAACCUCGCAAUUUGCGUGGCGUACUUUCUGGUUGACGGGUCAGCAUCAAUUUUGACCACUGGAAAAAGACUUGGGGAAUGUGGCAGCUCCGGCUGUGUUAUAGCCCCUUGUCGCAUACAGUGGUUGGGAUUGAGGAACUCAGCACGCCGCAAGGCCGGGUUUUCGAACCACGUUCGUGCUUAGGAUGCUGGCAUAAUGGCUUUAAGCGACCCGUCUUGAAACACGGACCAAGGAGUCUAACAUGCCUGCGAGUGUUUGGGUGGAAAACCCGAGCGCGUAAUGAAAGUGAAAGUUGAGAUCCCUGUCGUGGGGAGCAUCGACGCCCGGACCAGAACUUUUGGGACGGAUCCGCGGUAGAGCAUGUAUGUUGGGACCCGAAAGAUGGUGAACUAUGCCUGAAUAGGGUGAAGCCAGAGGAAACUCUGGUGGAGGCUCGUAGCGAUUCUGACGUGCAAAUCGAUCGUCAAAUUUGGGUAUAGGGGCGAAAGACUAAUCGAACC